rnacentral:rRNA from 1 species
CUCGGAUCAGGUAGGGAUACCCGCUGAACUUAAGCAUAUCAAUAAGCGGAGGAAAC